rnacentral:rRNA from 1 species
AACGAACGCUGGCGGCAGGCCUAACACAUGCAAGUCGAACGCCGUAGCAAUACGGAGUGGCAGACGGGUGAGUAACGCGUGGGAACAUACCCCCCGGUUCGGAAUAACUCAGGGAAGCUUGAGCUAAUACCGGAUACGUCCGAGGUUUUAAUCGACCUUGGAGAAAGAUUUAUCGCCGGAGGAUUGGCCCGCGUCUGAUUAGCUUGUUGGUGAGGUAAUGGCUCACCAAGGCGACGANCAGUAGCUGGUCUGAGAGGAUGAUCAGCCACAUUGGGACUGAGACACGGCCCAAACUCCUACGGGAGGCAGCAGUGGGGAAUAUUGGACAAUGGGCGAAAGCCUGAUCCAGCCAUGCCGCGUGAGUGAUGAAGGCCUUAGGGUUGUAAAG